UUAACAUUGGUGAUAGCCAAAUAAUAAAAUCAUUUCUAAUGCAUAUAGAUAUCGGAGCGUCUUUCUCAGAAAGAAAAAGAGAAAGGAAACCAAGAUCUGGUUCUUCUGAUGGAUGAGGUGAUAAAUCCUCAUAAAUCAAAUGCCUUCAUGUCCGUUUCAGAUUGUGUCCUUAUCUCUAGAAGUCACCGAUUCAAAGCGACGAAGCUGCCUGCAAUCUCAGCUCCUUCUUCCUCACACCGGCUCAAUUCAAGUUUUUGUGACAGUCUAAAGAGAAUCAAAGAGGGUCUACAUUGGAGGCUUUUAUAAAAAUUGGUUGCAGGGUUGCAGUUGGUGAUGGCUCUUAUUAGUGUGAGUCGGCUGAUUUUCAGAUACAUAUCUUUCUUCCUUCUCAUUCUGCUCAAGAUGUUCGUUUAUGAGUUCAUGCCUAAUGGUAAUGGUACCUAACGGAGAUGGGGAGAAUAUGGGCUUUACAACAUUUGAAGUUUAUACGAUGCCUUUCUGGCUGGAGUUUCAUCUAGCUAAUCCUGUUUGCUUACUUUGAUAUAAGUCACAGAUAAAAUCAAGGGAAGCUUGGACUUCAGUAUGAGUUUACGUAUUGCUUGGGUUCAACCAAAAGACUUCUUUAUCUCCAUUCCACUAAGAUAGGAAAGCCACCAACAUAGUUUUGGACUUCAGUUUCUGAAUCGUACCGACAAGAGUUAUGGGAAUAUGCCUCUGUAAGGAGAAAGAUAUGGACUUUGUACACUGUGCUUGUAGUUCAGUGAUGGAAUGAGAGAGAGACGAGAGCAAUAUCUGGUUUCGAUCAUAUGAAAGAAGACAGUAGUCACCUUUGGAAUCUUCUAGUCUAGGAGAAUUUGUAUUUAGAUGUUAUAAUAUUCAAAAUAAUUAAGUUUUCCAUGAUAAUUUUUUUUUAUUAAAAAAAGAAAUAUAGAGUCACCAAUAGAAUUGGUGUAGUGCUAAUUAU